AACCAACCGGGAUUGCCUUAGUAACGGCGAGUGAAGCGGCAAAAAGCUCAAAUUUGAAAUCUGGUACCUUCGGUGCCCGAGUUGUAAUUUGGAGAGGGCAACUUUGGGGCCGUUCCUUGUCUAUGUUCCUUGGAACAGGACGUCAUAGAGGGUGAGAAUCCCGUGUGGCGAGGAGUGCGGUUCUUUGUAAAGUGCCUUCGAAGAGUCGAGUUGUUUGGGAAUGCAGCUCUAAGUGGGUGGUAAAUUCCAUCUAAAGCUAAAUAUUGGCGAGAGACCGAUAGCGAACAAGUACAGUGAUGGAAAGAUGAAAAGAACUUUGAAAAGAGAGUGAAAAAGUACGUGAAAUUGUUGAAAGGGAAGGGCAUUUGAUCAGACAUGGUGUUUUGUGCCCUCUGCUCCUUGUGGGUAGGGAAUCUCGCAUUUCACUGGGCCAGCAUCAGUUUGUGGCAGGAUAAAUCCAUAGGAAUGUAGCUUGCCUCGGUAAGUAUUAUAGCCUGUGGGAAUACUGCC
rnacentral:rRNA from 1 species